rnacentral:rRNA from 1 species
UACGUAGGGUGCGAGCGUUGUCCGGAAUUAUUGGGCGUAAAGGGCUCGUAGGCGGUUUUGUCGCGUCGGGAGUGAAAUCCACUGGCUUAACUGGUGGCUUGCUUUCGAUACGGGCAGACUGGAGGUAUGCAGGGGGAGAACGGAAUUCCUGGUGUAGCGGUGAAAUGCGCAGAUAUCAGGAGGAACACCGGUGGCGAAGGCGGUUCUCUGGGCAUGUCCUGACGUGAGGAGCGAAAAGCGUGGGGGGAGCGAA